CUUGAACUAUUGGAUGCAGGGGUGGCUGCUGUGUCACAUGUGACGGUAGCAGAGAUGAGUAGGGCUACUACAUCUAUGUUCAGUGUUCUGCCUAUGAACAUCUGGAUGAUUAGCAGCCUAACAUU